GUUUGAUCAUGGCUCAGGAUUAACGCUGGCGGCGUGCCCAACACAUGCAAGUCGAGCGAUUCUCUUAGGAGAAGAGCGGCGGACGGGUGAGUAACGCGUGGGUAACCUGCCCUGUACACACGGAUAACAUACCGAAAGGUAUGCUAAUACGGGAUAAUAUAUUUUGAUGGCAUCAUCGAAAUAUCAAAGCUCCGGCGGUACAGGAUGGACCCGCGUCUGAUUAGCUAGUUGGUGAGGUAAUGGCUCACCAGGGCGACGAUCGGUAGCCGGCCUGAGAGGGCGGACGGCCACACUGGGACUGAGACACGGCCCAGACUCCUACGGGAGGCAGCAGUGGGGAAUUUUUCGCAAUGGGGGAAACCCUGACGAAGCAACGCCGCGUGGAGGAUGAAGGCCUUCGGGUCGUAAACUCCUGUCGACUGGGAAGAAUGCACUCGACCUAAUACGUCGAAGUGUUGACUGUACCGGUGGAGGAAGCCACGGCUAACUCUGUGCCAGCAGCCGCGGUAAUACAGAGGUGGCAAGCGUUGUUCGGAAUUACUGGGCGUAAAGGGCGCGUAGGCGGCCCGCCAAGUCCCGUGUGAAAGCCCCCGGCUCAACCGGGGAACGGCGCGGGAAACUAGCGGGCUUGAGUUCGGGAGAGGGAAGCGGAAUUCCGGGUGUAGCGGUGAAAUGCGCAGAUAUCCGGAGGAACACCGGUGGCGAAGGCGGCUUCCUGGACCGACACUGACGCUGAGGCGCGAAAGCUAGGGGAGCAAACGGGAUUAGAUACCCCGGUAGUCCUAGCCCUAAACGAUGAGCACUGGGUGUAGGGGGUAUGAACCCCCCCUGUGCCGAAGCUAACGCAUUAAGUGCUCCGCCUGGGGAGUACGGUCGCAAG
rnacentral:rRNA from 1 species